rnacentral:rRNA from 1 species
UCCGUAGGGUCCGAGCGUUGUCCGGAAUUACUGGGCGUAAAGAGCUCGUAGGUGGUUUGUCGCGUUGUUCGUGAAAACUCACAGCUCAACUGUGGGCGUGCGGGCGAUACGGGCAGACUGGAGUACUGCAGGGGAGACUGGAAUUCCUGGUGUAGCAGUGAAAUGCGUAGAUAUCAGGAGGAACACCGAUGGCGAAGGCAGGUCUCUGGGCUGACACUGACGCUCAUGCACGAAAGCGUGGGGAGCAAACAGG